GGGUUUAGCUCAAUGGGAGAGCGCAAUAAAAUCUUUAGUAUUGAUAGUAAGAUUUCUUACAUCAAACGUUCAGAUUUAUAAUCCUGAAAUCUUGGUUCAACUCCAAGAACUCCUA
rnacentral:tRNA from 1 species